UACGUAGGGGGCGAGCGUUGUCCGGAUUAUUGGGCGUAAAGAGCGUGUAGGCGGCCAGGUAGGUCUGCUGUGAAAACUCGAGGCUCAACCUCGAGACGUCGGCGGAAACCAUCUGGCUAGAGUCCGGAAGAGGAGAGUGGAAUUCCUGGUGUAGCGGUGAAAUGCGCAGAUAUCAGGAAGAACACCCGUGGCGAAGGCGGCUCUCUGGGACGGUACUGACGCUGAGACGCGAAAGCGUGGGGAGCGAACAGG
rnacentral:rRNA from 1 species